CGGCCACGCGAGGGCGCUCUGCCGCGCCCGGCCCGGCGCCGGCCCUCGCUGGGCUCUGCGGGGGCCCCGGCUCUGCGUGCUGGCGGCUCACCCACCGUUCGGAAAAGAAAGCAGAGCUCCGAGAACCCCUCUGACAGUUCGGAAAACGAAUCCAUCGCCUCCGCACUGCGGACAUUUGUUUGGAUGGAGGCCAGCCCGCCGCGCGAGCCCCUCCGCGCCUCUCGGAGGUCCCACCCCAGCCGCUCCCCGCAGGUUUGCGGAGGGCGGCCCGCGUGGGCUCUCGACCGCCGCAAGGGAAUAACCAGCCCCGCUCGCCAAGCUCGGAAUCCGGAUCAGCUGGAGGGACCCAAAGCCUUCGGCUUCGCCCUCCCCCAGUAGCUUGGACCACAUCCUAGAGACCAAACUCUGAGCCUCGACUUCCACACAUAAAUUGGGAAAGACAACAGUCCCUACUGUGGAAGUUGCUGAGAAAGUUAGAGAUGGGUCUCUAUCGUCCGGGCUUUAGACAAACCACCUGCGUCUUUCUGAGCCUCAGUUUCCCCAGCCGCAAAAUGGAGAUAAUAAAAGUCUUUACCUCCCGGGUCACUGAACAGGCCAGAUUGCAGCAGCCACUUGGCACCCCCUGAGCUUUCAGGCAGUGGAGCCACUGGGGUGGUUAGGAAGGCUCUGCAGAGGCACCGAGUUCACAGCUCAUUCCAGAGCCCCAGAACCCCAUGGGGUUGUCUAUUAGGAACCAGGUCCCCCAGCUGGCUUAGAGCAUGGCUGAUGAUCCCUCACUUCCCUGGCUCAGAUGGGGGGCUCGCUGUGCAGCCCACACGGGCAUGUGGGCAGGGGGCUGGGAGGCAGGGCCCCCCACUCCUCCUGGUUGGUCUUCAGGGCCCUCUCUGGUUGAAUCACCAGGCAAAAACACACAGCUCUGACACCAUCCAGAAAAUGAAAAUGUCUCCGGCAUCUAAUCCUUCCCUUUCUUUUGUCAACUUAAAUCUCCCUGAAACAUAACCGAGAUACCAGACGCAGUGUGAGCGUUCAUGAUGGAGCCGGCCUCCUCCCAUAAAGCCGGCCUCAGGGACUUUGUGCAGCAGAGCAAUGCCUCCAGUCAGGCUCUACCUCACCAGUCUCCCCAGCAGUUUGAUACUCAUGGAACUGAGGCUCAAAGGAGGGACUUCUGACGAUCUCAGAAUUCCACCUGGGCAGGUCGGAGAGUUCACAGCCCCUCGUCACUCGGAGGAAGGGAAUGCAGAGGAGCAAGGAUGCAGGUUCCUGAGACCAUACAGAGCCUCUUUUAGAAUUAUCUGCUAAUACAGACCAGGGCCAAGGACGACAGCAGAAACAGAACAGCUGGUGCUUAAGGGAGAUGGGAUCGGCAGUGCUUUAUUCCAAGGAUUUGAUAUUUUAAGUUAUUGUUGUUGUUAU
ensembl:lncRNA